AGAGGCUGCAUAAUAUUGACUUGGAUCUUGGACCACUAAGAUUUAUAUGGAUUAUAAAUUCGUGUUUUACGUUGGGGGCGUAAGAUAUGUUAAAAUUAGUGGGAGCUAAUCAAUACGAUAGCCCAUUGUUUGAUUAGUGAUACAAUGUGAUCAUAGUUUUUUCUUUCUAAUUUGCUUUUCUUUAUUUAUUGAUCAGAUAAUAUGUCAAAUUUGUCACUGAAAUGUUUGAUAGAA
rnacentral:lncRNA from 1 species